UAAGAUCAGUAUUAAAACACAUUUAAAACUGAUGUUCUGGACCGCAGUUCUCCCGCACCCCAACUAACAUGGCCAGCGGUUAUGAGAAUUUACGACUAAAACAUCUGGAGGGCACCAGUUUGCUUAACUCCCCGAAAUCCCUUUUAGAAAGGGGGGGGGGGAAGGAAGCGUAGUUCCCCUUCCUUCCUUGCCCAGCAACCAGUGACGAAAGCAGGAACGCGCUUUUCCUAUUGGCUGGGGAAUUCCCACUCUUGUUUCCCUCUGAACUGCCUUCUCCGCCCAGCUGGAUUCACAACCGGGUGACCGCCGGAGGCAGGGAGAGAAGAAAGGCUGGAAGGUCGCCUUUGUAGGGGGGACAUUUUGGUUGCAGGACAUGUUGUCUAAAGCAAGCACGGAUUUUGCUGAGGAGGACAAUAUUCCAUCCGGCACAACACAGAGGCUCCUGUUCAGGUGGAUUGUGCAGGAGGGUGAUGGAGGUACCGCCUCACUGGGGAAUGGAAGGACAUUCAGAAAUAACGAAAUGACGCCCUCAGCGCCUCCUCGGUCCCUUUCUCUUUGUGGCAUAAAGGAAGCAGCUUUUGUUAAGCCAGAACAGGUACUGAAGGGAAAACGGCAAAGCAGGUUUGAGGGGAUCAACGGGUUGUCUUUCUCUCCUUUGUCUCUCCCUCCAGACUUCUUUUUCCUUCUGUUGAAAACUGCCCAGUAAGAAUGGGUGGAACACCUGCUGAAAAACAUUGAAUCUUCUUAGAGAACCUCAGCCCAGCUCCCGUCCCUUUGAAUGCUUCGUCAAAGUCCCGGGUGGCAAAUAAAGUUCAUGGCACCGCCA
rnacentral:lncRNA from 1 species